AAUGAACGCUGGCGGCGUGCCUAAUACAUGCAAGUCGAACGAACAGACGAGGAGGUUGCUCCUCUGACGUUAGCGGCGGACGGGUGAGUAACACGUGGAUAACCUACCUAGAUGGCGGGGAUAACUUAGGGAAACCGGAAGUAAUACCGGAGAAUAGUGUGAAGAGCAUGGUUCAAUAGUUAAAGACGGUUUUCCUGUGGCUGAGCGCAGAAUCCAGGCCGGAUUAGCUAGUUGGUAAGGUAACGGCUUACCAAGGCGACGAUGCGUAGCUGAGCUGAGAGGAUGAUCGGCCACACUGGAACUGAGACACGGUCCAGACUCCUACGGGAGGCAGCAGUAGGGAAUAUUGCACAAUGGGCGCAAGCCUGAUGCAGCCAUGCCGCGUGUAUGAAGAAGGCCUUCGGAUUGUAAAGUACUUUCAUCGGGGAGGAAGGGAGUAAAGUUAAUACCUGUACUCAUUGACGUUACCCACAGAAAAAGCACCGGCUAACUCCGUG
rnacentral:rRNA from 1 species